CGUGAAAGGGGCUUCGGCCCUAAGUAAAGUGGCGCACGGGUGAGUAACACGUGGAUAAUCUGCCCUUAUGAUCGGGAUAACAGUCGGAAACGGCUGCUAAUACCGGAUACGCUCAAAAUGAACUUUUUGAGGAAAGGUGACCUCUGCUUGCAAGUUACUGCAUGAGGAUGAGUCCGCGGCCCAUUAGCUAGUUGGUAGGGUAACGGCCUACCAAGGCAACGAUGGGUAGCCGAUUUGAGAGGAUGAUCGGCCACACUGGGACUGAAACACGGCCCAGACUCCUACGGGGGGCAGCAGUGGGGAAUAUUGCGCAAUGGGCGAAAGCCUGACGCAGCGACGCCGCGUGAGGGAUGAAGGUUUUCGGAUCGUAAACCUCUGUCAGAAGGGAAGAAACCGCACCGUGCUAAUCAGCGGUGCAUUGACGGUACCUUCAAAGGAAGCACCGGCUAACUCCGUGCCAGCAGCCGCGGUAAUACGGAGGGUGCAAGCGUUAAUCGGAAUUACUGGGCGUAAAGCGCACGUAGGCUGCUUUGUAAGUCAGGGGUGAAAUCCCACGGCUCAACCGUGGAACUGCCUUUGAUACUGCUUAGCUUGAAUCCGGGAGAGGGUGGCGGAAUUCCAGGUGUAGGAGUGAAAUCCGUAGAUAUCUGGGGGAACAUCAGUGGCGAAGGCGGCCACCUGGACCGGUAUUGACGCUGAGGUGCG
rnacentral:rRNA from 1 species